GGAAGAUUGGCUGAGAGGCUAAAGGCGUCCGGUUGCUAACCGGAAGGUGACGAAAGCUGCCCACUGGUUCGAAUCCAGUAUCUUCCG
rnacentral:tRNA from 1 species